rnacentral:tRNA from 1 species
UGCGGGGUGGAGCAGUUCGGUAGCUCGUCGGGCUCAUAACCCGAAGGUCGCAGGUUCAAAUCCUGCCCCCGCCA